rnacentral:rRNA from 1 species
GUGCACGAUGACAGCCCUAUGGGUUGUAAACUGCUUUUAUACAGGAAGAAAACACUCUACGUGUAGAGUCUUGACGGUACUGUAAGAAUAAGGAUCGGCUAACUCCGUGCCAGCAGCCGCGGUAAUACGGAGGAUCCAAGCGUUAUCCGGAAUUAUUGGGUUUAAAGGGUCCGUAGGUGGACAAUUAAGUCAGAGGUGAAAUCCUGCAGCUCAACUGUAGAAUUGCCUUUGAAACUGGUUGUCUUGAGUCAUUAUGAAGUGGUUAGAAUGUGUAGUGUAGCGGUGAAAUGCAUAGAUAUUACACAGAAUACCAAUUGCGAAGGCAGAUCACUAAUAAUGUACUGACACUGAUGGACGAAAGCGUGGGUAGCGAACAGGAUUAGAUACCCUGGUAGUCCACGCCGUAAACGAUGGUCACUAGCUGUUCGGACUUCGGUCUGAGUGGCUAAGCGAAAGUGAUAAGUGACCCACCUGGGGAGUACGUUCGCAAGAAUGAAACUCAAAGGAAUUGACGGA